rnacentral:rRNA from 1 species
GACGGGGGAUGCAAGUGUUAUCCGGAAUCACUGGGCGUAAAGCGUCUGCAGGUGGUUUCCUAAGUCCACUGUUAAACCUUGAGGCUCAACCUCAAAUCUGCAUUGGAAACUAGGAGACUUGAGUAUAGUAGGGGUAGAGGGAAUUUCCAGUGGAGCGGUGAAAUGCGUAGAUAUUGGAAAGAACACCGAUGGCGAAGGCACUCUACUGGGCUAUUACUGACCACUCAGAGACGAAAGCUAGGGGAGCAAAUGGG